UACGUAGGUGGCGAGCGUUGUCCGGAAUUACUGGGUGUAAAGCGCGUUGUAGGCGGGAGGCCAAGUCUGUGGUGAAAUCGCUCGGCUUAACUGGGCGGGGUCCAUGGAAACUGGUCACCUGGAGGUCGGUAGAGGCAAGUGGAAUUCCCGGUGUAGUGGUGAAAUGCGUAGAGAUCGGGAGGAACACCAGUGGCGAAGGCGGCUUGCUGGGCCGGACCUGACGCUGAGA
rnacentral:rRNA from 1 species